rnacentral:lncRNA from 1 species
CACCAACUAAUUCUGGGAGCCUACCAUUGGUGGAGAGCCUGCACGUGAUGUAGCCACCGCCUUCUCGCGAGACCGUCUCCCAACACGUGACUAUGGCGUGCGCACAUCCGGGCUACGGCCCUGGGCGUCCCCGGCCCCAAGAUGGCUGCCUUUUGGCGUCUCCAGCGCUGUUGAAUGGAGAAAGCUUUAUUGUUCCCUUCGGGCAGGAGUGUUCGUGUUCUCUAUGGCGCUGUCAAUAAAGAACGGCAGUUUGAAUCGGUACUGAACAGCUUUCGAAUGCUGGGAUAAAGAUUGUGCAUCUCCCCUGCCUGUCUAGCAAGAAUGAAUGAUUUCACACACCCAUCUCCUAGCAUCAUAGACAGAAACUCAAGUAUCCUAGAGUCACUUCAAACUGUGUGUCCAAGGACAACUUUAAACUUCGGAUCCUCCUCCCUCUACGUCUUGAGUUCCGGGUUUACGAUUAUUGGGCAUGAUGGUGCAUGCUCACACUUUCGAAUCUGAGACAGAACGAUCAGGAGUUGGAGGCAGCCCAGUCUACAGGAAACCCUGUGCUUGUGUGUAUAUGCACAUGCUAGAGAGUGUACCCGGUAUGGUAGCACAUGGCUUAUAACCUCAGUACUUCAGAGGCAGGGGCAGACAGGUCUAUGCAAAUUUGAGGCCAGCCUGGUCUACAUAGCAAGGUCCAGUGUGAGACACUGUCUUAAAGCAUUGAAAGACAAAGGAAGAGGAGAGGGAAGAG